rnacentral:rRNA from 1 species
CCUACGGGGUGCUGCAGUCGAGAAUCAUUCACAAUGGGGGAAACCCUGAUGGUGCGACGCCGCGUGGGGGAAUGAAGGUCUUCGGAUUGUAAACCCCUGUCAUGUGGGAGCAAAUUAAAAAGAUAGUAUCACAAGAGGAAGAGACGGCUAACCCUGUGCCAGCAGCCGCGGUAAUACAGCGGUCUCAAGCGUUGUUCGGAAUCACUGGGCGUAAAGGGUGCGUAGGCUGUUUCGUAAGUCGUGUGUGAAAGGCGCGGGCUCAACCCGCGGACGGCACAUGAUACUGCGAGACUAGAGUGAUGGAGAGGGAAGCGGAAUUCUCGGUGUAGCAGUGAAAUGCGUAGAUAUCGAGAGGAACACUCGUGGCGAAGGCGGGUUCCUGGACAUUAACUGACGCUGAGGCACGAAGGCGAGGGGAGCGAAAGGGAUUAGAUACCCGAGUAGUC